ensembl:lncRNA
UUUCCGGGCAUUGUUAAAAUCUGUUACCCUGCGCUCGCGUCCUUAUCUGUAGCGAAGGACAGUCGGCCUUCCCGAGUGUGGAAAAUCGAGGUGCCCCUGGAAGAGGGCCAAGGACGCGGCCGCGGGCUGCGGGGCCCGGGACCUCCCGGAGGAUGCCCGCGCCGCGCCGCCUCCGCCCGCGCCUCCAUUCGCGCGCGUCAGAGCCGCAGUGACGUCGCCAGAUGGUCCGUGGUAACUUUUAUUUGUGAAUUCCAGUGUGCAUCUUUUAAAGAAAAGGAACACAUCCCUGCAUCACUUAAAUCAUAUCAAUAUCAGUGCAGGAUAGCCUGGAUCUUCUUCCCACGUGGCAGCUGGGUCCCAGGAAGGACAUUCUGAGAGAUCAAGCCCUGAUGUAUACGCACUUCUCAAGCCUCUGCUUGAGUCGCACUUGCCGAUGACUAAGGCCCUGGGACCUCAAGUACAAUGCUGGGAAGAAGAGUUGACCCAGACAUUUUUGCCUUGCUCCUGAUUUCAAAAGGGAUAUUUCAAACAUUUCACCUUGAAGAAUGAUAUUUGCUGUAAUUAUUUGGUAAAAACUCUUUAUCAGAUUUGUCACUGUGGCUAAGCGCAGGUCAGUUAUCUUCAAUUUAGAAGAUCCUUCUUACCUCUGCUGGCCACCAAAUGGCCCUUCGAUUCUGGCCUUCCCUCCUAACAGUGAUGUACUGACGCCUGGGUACCAGGUACAGCGCCUGGAGGUCAACAGUAGGCCUGAAGAAGCCCAGCCAUUGGAGGUCUAGCUGGUUGUCAAUCCACAUCCCUUUUCUCCCACUCAAAACUCACUUUGUCUAAAACACUCUUCCUGAUUACCAGCCUGUGAUCCACCCUGAGUGCGGGGACCACAUCUUUUCAUCUCUCUAUCCCCAGGGCCCAGCCCAAAGCCUGCACAGAGAAGUUGCUCAAAAAUGCUUGUGAAACUGAGUUUGCCCAACCCAAUUCUGAGCUCUUUCUUGGCUCAGUUGAUCCUGAUUUUUAAAGUCGUUUCUCCAAAACGCUCUUGAGCCUUUUUUUGUAUGCGGCACAUGCAUCUGCUGUGUCUCACAAGACAGACAGUGGUUGCUUUGCAGAUAAGAACUGUGUCUACGGAGGAGUUUCUUUUGACUUUCCAAUUUCAGAGGCUGUCCGACACUAGCCCAAAGCCCCUUCAGCGUCUUGUCCAUCUGUGUUCUCAUCCACACUCCUACUCACAAGUUGGAAACUCUAGCACCACCUGUGCCCACUGUCUGUGCUCGAUGACCGCUGGUUCGGUGAAUGAAUGCAAGCACAAAACGGUGGCCCUCGAGAUGAAGAGCCCAGGGUUCGACCACUCUCCAGUCGGGCCACUUGGCCACAUAAUCAAUCACUGGACACUAUGUUCCAAACCAGGGGUAAUGAGGCAGCUGCCGCCGUGUCCACUUCCUGUUCUGGGGCCUCAGCGUCUGAAGAGGGCAGACAGCGCGCUCAGGACCUGCCCCUGCCCCGGCCCCUUCGUAUCACGAAUUCGCUCGUCCUGGAUGGUUCAGCACUUCACAUUUUCAAAAUUUCAGCCAUUGUGUUUAUUGAAAGUGCAUCGACCACAAAACACCGCAGUUCACCUCUCUCUCUUUCUCGCUCUCUCUCUCGUGGAUGGGAAGAUUAUUCUGAAUCUAUGAAGGCAUUUAUUCACAGUGGCUUCUGAGUCAGGCUCUGCACCUACUUCAAUUUUAGAUGUUUUUCUGAAUCUCCUGUUGUGUGUGGCAGUUCAGGAACAGACACUGUGAGACGGAGAGGGGGACUCUGGAUCCGGAUUCAGGCAGCCCGGGUUCAAAUCCUAGGCUUUCCCCUCCCCGUGCCUAGCUGAGUGACCGUGGGCACGUCAUUUCACUUCCAGAAGCCUCGCCUUCGUGGUCCAUCAAAUGAAAUACUAUCUCCCUCUCCAGAGUUGUUGUAAGGAUGAGCUGAAAUGGCGUGUCUGAGCACAGCACAGAGCCGUCUCCCGUUUGUGUACAUUUCCUUCAGUUCAUGCACGUGGCUUCUUUUCCAGGUGAAUUCCAGACUUCGGGAGUUUGUAGACUAGGAAAAUCUCAAAACACAUUUUGAUGAGCAUACUUUUGCCAAGUUUUUAUUUUGCCAACUUUUAAUGUUGCCAAGUAAGAACAGUAUUAAAAAAACCAGCACAACUCACCUUCAUCCAUUUCCACUAAAUUUCAUAAAAGAAUAUUUAAAAAAAAAUCAAGAGGACAUCGUUACGAGUCAAAAAUGGAUGACGUUUAGCUUUACGAAAACCUCUCUGUAUUGCUCUUACUCAUCUUAUCUUAGAGAUGAGUGAACACUUGGUCUGCAGAUCAGUAUUUGGGAGCCGUCGCUCAUCCCGGACUCGCAGGGCUUUCCAGACUAGCGGUUCCCCGCUGUAGACGCCUCACCCCGAGGUGGGGAGGCGGAGGCGGAGGCGGAGGAUGAGCGAGCAGCACGUCUUUCGGUGCAAAGCGUAAGGAACUGCUGGGGUGUGAUCGCCGAGCCCAGGGACCUCGGGAUGUUCAGAGACGAGAGCGGUUGUGAGAAACUGAUGUGCACGAUAUAAAGUAUGUGAAGAGAACAGAGGCAGAACAUUUCCUGAGUUCCAGGUGGAAUACUGGCCGUGUUUGCAUUUUGGGUUUUUAAAAAAAGAUUGCAAGCAAGCGAUCAAAACUUGCCACAUCCGUCACUGAAGAGUGUGCGGGCUCGUGACGGUUUCACUCUGACGCAGCUCCCAAUUGCCUGCGGUUUUUCAGACACAUCCCCCUACAAUAUCCUUUGGGGUCAAAACAUUCCAUAGCUGGUCUAAGGGCAGAGGUGAAUCGUUUUUGAGAAGUUUGGGCUCACUCUGCUCAGCUGGUUUUGCUUAGGGGAGUGUGGAAAGAUCCCUAGGGGUUCUUUUCUAGGAGAAAAAAAUUACACACGCACACCACAGACACACACAUCAUUUGGGGCCUUUUAAAGUCGGGUUAACUCCUACCUGGGGAGGGAACCUCGGCCAGACGGGAAAUCUUAGUGGAUGACAAUUGAACUGCACUGACCCAUCUGGUGUCCGGAAGGAGGCGCAGAGCAGGCCUGUGCCAACUCUGGGUCCACGUGGGAGCACGCUGCCCUGUGCUGGGGGCCUGCUCCUGAGCCCCAGGUACUGCUGAUUUUGUAGAAUAAAAGUCACAAGCACUUACUAUGUGUGAGUCCUCUGUGAAGUACCUCGCUUCUAUUGUCUUGUCUAACCCUCACAUAGCAUUUUGGGCCAAGCCCUAAUCAGAAGGCCCAUUUCACAGAUGAGAAAACUGAGGCUUACACAGCAUUAGGCAAAGGUGUCCAAAGUCGCACUGCGGCCCGUGAGCGGUAGAGCUGGGACAUAAGCGCAGGUCUUUCUGAA